GACGAACGCUGGCGGCGUGCUUAACACAUGCAAGUCGAACGGGUCUGCCCUGUUUUUUGCGGGGUGGGUCAGUGGCGAACGGGUGAGUAACACGUGAGUAACCUGCCCCUCACUUCUGGAUAACCGCUUGAAAGGGUGGCUAAUACGGGGUGUUCUGGCUGUGCCGCAUGGUGUGGCUGGGAAAGAUUCACUUUUGUGGUGUUUUGGUGGGGGAUGGGCUCGCGGCCUAUCAGCUUGUUGGUGGGGUGAUGGCCUGCCAAGGCUUUGACGGGUAGCCGGCCUGGGAGGGUGGGCGGUCACACUGGGACUGAGAUACGGCCCAGACUCCGGCGGGAGGCAGCAGGGGGGGGUAUUGCACAAUGGGCGGAAGCAUGAUGCAGCGACGUCGCGGGAGGGAUGGAGGCCGGCGGGUUGUGAACCUCUUUCGCCGGUGAAGAAGGUCCUGCUCUUUGUGGUGGGGUUGACGGUAGCCGGGUUAUGAAGCGCCGGCUAACUACGUG
rnacentral:rRNA from 1 species